GGCUUCUUAGUGUAGAUGGUUAUCACAUCGGAUUCUGAUCUGCCCUAGGGCUUCAUAUUCCGGUAACUCGAGUUCGAGUCUCGAAGAGGCCU
rnacentral:tRNA from 1 species